UUCCCUGCGUAGUACGUGUAAACUGGAAUUUUAGAACCAACAAAUUCUAAACGGGAAUCUGCCUUUGAAUGUGGCGUGUAGGCUUAUGCAUAUUGUAAGAAACCCAGGAGCAUUCAACAAGAUAACCACCUGUGUAAACAGGUCCUUAAAAUUUCAUUCAUUUUACGGCUAAGGCGGGGUUU
rnacentral:other from 1 species